GACGAACGCUGGCGGCGUGCCUAAUACAUGCAAGUCGAACGCAGUGGGGACGGGUGAGUAACACGUGGGUAACCUCCCAUCAGAGGGGAUAACACUUGGAAAAAGGUGCUAAACCGAUACUGAUGGAGGGACCAGCGGUGCAUUAGCUAGUUGGUGAGGUAAAGGCUCAACAAGGCCACGAUGCAUAGCCGGCCUGAGAGUGUGAUCGGUCACACUGGGACGGAGACACGGUCCAGACUCCUACGGGAGGCAGCAGUGGGGAAUAUUGGACAAUGGGCGCAAGCCUGAUGAAGCCAUGCCGCGUGUAUGAAGAAGGCCUUCGGGUUGUAAGACUUUCAGCUGGGAGGAACGUUACUCGCAGAAGAAGCACCGGCUAACUCCGUGCCAGCAGCCGCGGUAAUAC
rnacentral:rRNA from 1 species